rnacentral:lncRNA from 1 species
AAUUAUCUAGUUUGGAUCCGCUAGAAGGUAUAAUAUCUUGGACGAAGCAUAGAUUGUCAAAACGGUGAAGACAUUCUCCGGUAUAUUUAUAUUUUUUGUUUAAUCACCGCAACCAAAGAAGGCCCGCGUCUGUGCCAAUCUAAGGAAGAAUAAGGGUUCAUUCCGCGUUCUCUCCUCUCCCCUCCUUUCUCUGUCUCUCUUAAUCGAGCGAGCGAGCGAGCUAGCGAGCGGCCGAAGGGAUUAAAUAAAGAGAAGCCCUGCCAGAAAGGCGCCUCCGAGCCCCGCGCUCUCAGAUCCGGCCGCGGCGAUGCCCUCCGACGCCCGAUUUCUGCUUUCUCUUCUCGCCCUUCUCCUUCUCGUCGCCGGCGCCGCCGCCUCCGAGUACGAUCACAAGGUACGCCCCCCUCCCUCGUCUCCUCCCUCCUGCACAAAGAUCGCCGCAUCCGCUCGAUCCGAGCCCUAGUUUCCCGAUUAGAAAGCGGUUUCUAGCGAGAUCCUGGCGGGGGACCGAGGGAUCCUCUUUCGCUGUGGGUCUUUCUCUGUAUCUGCUUGUAUCUUUGGGUUGUUGAUCAGAUCGGUGGUGUUUUAACGUGGUUCAAGGGACAUAUGUGAUUCUUGGGUUCGACGGGAUGUGGACUCUUGAUUAGGGUAACUUCCAUGGGGGUUGGAUCUGAACGGAGCCCUUUGAUUCCUUGCUUUGUUGAGAACUUUGCGCCAAUUGUGUCGGUCAUCCAUUAUUGGCUAUCGAAAUUCGAUCUUUUUGAUGUUCAUAGAUUGCGAAGUUCCAUUUUUGUUGGAUUUUGGUAGUAGCAGGGAGUAAUUACUGGCGUGCUAAUUCCUCUCUCUCUCUCUCUCU